GUACUAGUUAACCACAAACUGAUAGGAUCAGAGAGCAUCAGAACCUCUGUUACAGCUGUGAAGGCAACUCAUCAGACGAAAUCUAAAACAAAAAUAGGAACAAUAAUGAAGAUUUUUUGGAUACUGCUACUAAUUGCUUGCAUCCAGAUGACGACCACAGAUGCUCAAACAACCACGGCUGCUCCAACAACCACAGCUGCUCCAACAACCACUGCUGUUAUAACAACCACUGCUGCUCCAGCAACCACUGCUGCUCUAACAACCACAGCUGCUCCAGCAACCACUGCUGCUCCAACAAC